rnacentral:rRNA from 1 species
GAAUCAAUUUGUUGGUCGUGCCUCGGUACGUACUGGUAUUAUUGGUUUCUACCUUCUGAGGAACCUUGAUGUCAUUAGUUUGGUGUCUUGGGGAAUCAGGACUGUUACUUUGAAAAAAUUAGAGUGUUUAAAGCAGGCAUACGCUUGAAUACAUUAGCAUGGAAUAAUGAAAUAGGACGUUUGACCCUAUUUUGUUGGUUUCUAGGAUCGACGUA